rnacentral:rRNA from 1 species
UACGAGGGGGGGCAAGUGUUGUUCGGAAUCACUGGGCGUAAAGGGGAGCGUAGGCGGGCGUCUAAGUUGGGUGUUUAAUUCCGGGGCCCAACCCCGGGCAUGCACACAAAACUGGACGUCUUGAAUAGGGGAGAGGUCGGUGGAAUUGGAGGUGUAGCGGUGGAAUGCGUAGAGAUCUCCAAGAACACCCGUUGCGAAGGCGGCCGACUGGACCCCAUAUUGACGCUGAGGCUCGAAAGCAUGGGGAGCAAACAGG